GAGGGUAUAGCUCAGUGGUAGAGCACAGGCUUAGCAAGCAUGAGGUACUGGGUUCAAUCCCCAGUACCUCCA
rnacentral:tRNA from 1 species